rnacentral:rRNA from 1 species
UGGGGAAUAUUGGACAAUGGGGGGAACCCUGAUCCAGCGAUGCCGCGUGGGUGAAGAAGGCCUUCGGGUUGUAAAGCCCUUUCGGCUAGGAAGAAAGGUAGCAGGUUAAGAGCUAGUUACUGUGACGGUACUAACAGAAUAAGCACCGGCAAACUCUGUGCCAGCAGCCGCGGUAAUACAGAGGGCGCGAGCGUUAAUCGGAAUUACUGGGCGUAAAGGGCGCGUAGGCGGUGAUACAUGCGUGAUGGG